rnacentral:lncRNA from 1 species
AAAAACAAAAAAAACAAAAUCUCCCAACGUCUCUCUCCAUCCACUCCCAACAGACCCUGCUCCACUACCUCUCCUCUCUCUCGUACCAGAAAAGACAAAAAAAGAAAAUAGAUAAAUGGGAACGUUACUCUCUCACUCUCAGACCACUAUUCACUCUCUCAAAAAAAAGACAAUCUCUCAAUUUCCUCUCAACUCUGAGCUCACACAAUCCCCUUCCUCUCUCGCCCCAAAUCUCUCACUCUCAAUUCUCAGCUGAAACUCUCACCGACAAACCCUCCUCUCUAAAAUCCGCCGCCACCACCUUCUACCACCACUAAACACUCACCAACCGUCAACCCUCCGAAUCCUUCAUCAUCUUCGUCAUCGCAACUCAACCGUUCACCGCCACCCAAAACCCCUACCGUCGCGGCGACUUCCACCUUCAAACCCUUAAACCACCUUCGAAACACCGUCAAAACCGCCGUCGCUCUCACCGGCAAACUCUCUCCAUCUACCUUCAAAUCGCGCCCUCACCGACAAACCCACACGAAACCUACUCAUCUCACAAUCUCCAAGCCGUCACCAUCCAUCAUCGCUUCCGUCCACAAUCGCGACCCAUCUUCACCGCUAAAACCUAAUCUCUAAAUCCGCCGUCAUCACCGUACCGAAGCCGUCGGUGACUUGUCAGUUCGCAACUAUCUUCGACCUUCAUCAACAGUUUGGGAUUGUGUUGUGUAAUUUUUCUGUUUUUUCAGGGAAAGUCUGAAGCUUUAGAGCCAUGGGUCCAGCACCGGUGACGAUUACAACUAGCCUCUGUUGAUAGCUUCAAAAGGAUUUUCUUAUGAUUCUGGAAACGGUUUCAAGUCGCGCUGAUUCCUCUUCUUCCGCAACAACCACAAAGACCGUUAUUACUCUACCACUCUCAGCACGGCGUCGAAACCGCUUCUUGUCCACAUUAAAGCAAGCCGGGCAGAUUGUUGAAACACCAUGGAUACGGGGAUUGGGUGGAAGAUCUCAGGCUGUUGCUGAUGAUGUACUCCUGAAAUAAGCUCUUGACAACUAUCCGUCUGUACGGUAACAGAUCGAUUUAAGCUUAUUUUAGAAUUAUGAUUGUUUCAUGACAGUAUUUGAUAUCUCUGGAUAAUGUGUGUGUUUGUGAUUUUUAUCUUCCGAUUCGUUCUGGUGGUAGAUGGUAUCAACAUAUUUUAUGCUGAAAAUUUCGUUGAGGAUUGUAAAUUUUUUCUCUGAAUAUUGUUACUCUGUGUCGUUACUGUUUCGUUUUGUGUUGAUACUACAAUAGCCCUGUAUAUAAUCACAAUUUGCGGUGACAUACUUUGAUACCAUUUUUAUUGUACAUAUUCAACUCUUGAUUAUGACUUGUUUUAGCUAUAUCAAAAGGAUUUGUUUUGUAUUGCCUGUGAAGUUUAUAGUUGCUUGUAGUAUCUCGUUCAUUUUUCAUUUGAAUUGAGAUUUGGAUUAUGAAUACCAACGUGCUUGCUUAUACACAACUUAUGCGACUUUCAGUUUGGAUUAUAUUUGGGAAGAUAUUUUAAGUGGGAACUGUAUUAAAAUUCUGCUCUUGAAUUAUUAGAUUAGUUUGUGGAUGGAUCACUAUUGUUGGUGCAAAUGAGUUAUUAGCCCACGGCAUUAUCAGAAUUCUAAUAAUCUCAUGAUUGGUUUACAACGAUUUUCUCAAAUGCAUGUUGUUUUUAUUGCUGAAAUUUAAAUUGGAUUAUCAAUUGCCUAAUGGACUUUAUAGUGUAUAUAUAAGUCUACUUUAAUCAUAAGGCAUNAGUUCCUUCCUUGAAAACACAAACUUUAGAACCUACCCUUGGGAAUUUCUAGUAAUCAGAAAAACCCGUAUUUCUUCCUGUUAUCCUGACGUACCCGACGUGUGAAUAAUCUUAAGUCUGUAUUCCUUUGCAAAAAACAUGGCAAAAUUUCAUGCAUUUGCAUAUCAUCAACAUGCAUUGCAUAUCAUCUCCCAGAAACAAAAUCUCACACCAUGUUCUGCCCUUUGUCCAGUAAACGCUGACUACUCGACACCGGUACGAGACACGCCGCAAUUACAAGAUGACACUUGAACAGCUUGAAGCUAACCAAGUUUCGAUGAGGACCGACAUUGACUCCAUGCAGGCAAAGAUGGAUCGCUUGCUUGAGACCAUGUUACUCUUGGCUCAGAAGGAGAAGGAUGCUGAGACUAACGCCGAAGCCAGGAAAAUUGCUGCCCAAUUUGGAUCACCAUCGCUCAGUAUCCCUGGAGUGAUUGACCUUGAUGGUAACCCUAAUCAGCCUAGAGAAGGACCGAUCCCUAUUCCGAUCCCAAUGGACAAUAUAAAACCCCACGAGCAUUCUACUGUAUCUGCUCGACACGGAUCUGUGAUAUGUGAUGAAGAUCCAUAUGACGCUUUCUUCAUGCCACAGCCCGUCCAGCCUGCUGUUGGAGGUCUCCCAGACCCAGCUGUUGACAGACUCCAUGCGUUGGAGGAAAAGUUUAAGUCCUUGGAGGUUCACACUACUCCCGGUUUGGACGCCGUCGAUAUGUGCUUGGUGCCAGGCCUUGUGAUUCCACAGAAGUUCAAAGUCCCGGACUUUGACAAGUACAAAGGGAUCAGCUGCCCAAGAACACACCUCAGAGCUUACUGCCGCAAAAUGGCCGCCCACAUCAGUAAUGAUCAACUCCUGAUUCAUUACUUCCAAGAUAGUCUCAGUGGGGCAUCUUUGGAGUGGUACAUGCAACUGGAGAGAGGACAGGUCCAAUCAUGGAGAGACCUUGCUGAAGCAUUCCUCAGGCAUUAUCAGUACAACACUGAUCUAGCACCCAAUCGCACCCAACUGCAAGACAUGACUCAACGCAACAAUGAGUCAUUCAAAGAAUACGCCCAGCGGUGGAGAGAGCUAGCAGCUCGUGUUCAACCUCCUCUCUUUGACAAAGAGCUAAUUGACAUGUUUAUGGGAACCCUACACACCCAGUACAUGGAGAAGAUGGUAGGAUCCAGUUUCCCAACUUUUGCUGAGGUCGUCUCCGUGGGAGAACGAAUCGAGAGCCAGAUCAAGAAGGGGAAACUACCUUGCGCUGCUAAUGCUUCAAGUGGGAUGAAGAAACCUUAUCCUAAUCUCCCAAAGAAGCCAGAAGGUCAAACCAAUUCCAUAAUGGGAGGAGGAGGAUAUAGGGCACGCCCGUAUGCUCCUAUGCCUUAUAAUCAGGUUGCCGCUGUCGUCCCGACACCAUAUCAGCCUCCAUAUCAGCAACCCCAUCAACAACAAUAUCAACAGCCUUAUCAACAAACAGCUUAUCAGCAUCAGAAUCAACAUCGACGUGCUCCACAACCACGUCCCCCCAAUCAGCAGAGGGCAAGGAGGCCAGAAAGGCAUUUCGAUCCUUUGCCAGUAUCAUAUAGCAAGAUCCUCCCCUACCUGCUAAAGGAUGGAUCGGUCGUUCUGAAGGAGAUAACACCUGUAACUCCACCAUAUCCUCCAGGCUACGACGCCAAUGCUCACUGUGAGUAUCACAUGGGUGCUCCAGGGCACACAAUAGAGAACUGUAAGGCUUUCAAGCACAAGGUUCAAGAUUUGGUUGACAGUAAAGCACUUACAUUCACGCCAGUGAGGCCAAACGUUGCAACAAACCCCAUGCCGGCGCAUGCAGAAUCAAGUGAAGCUCGAAGGUAAAGCUUCCCACCGGCCUAAACAAGCAGAGCAAUUCCGCUGAAGAACCCAGAGAUGAAGGCUUGUUCAUUUGAAUGAAGGCAAUCCUGAUGCCAUUUUUACCAUUUUGCAUUCUUGUAAUUUGAUCUUGUUUGUCUAAGUACUGUACGCUUUAAACAUUGUUAUUUGUAUUUGGUUUUGUUAAUGGGAUGGUUAUGCAUGCUUUGAAUCAAUCUUUCNGGAUGAAACCCUGCUGAUGAUGUACAGGCAUUGUUUCAAAUCCCCAAACACUGGAGAGAUAAGGAGUUAAUCCCUAGUCAACCACUUCGAGCCUAGAAGUAGGAGUUUCUUUCAGAUCUAAAAAACCUUUACGCUUAACCUGGGGCAGGGUAGUGUUCAGUUAACCUGACUACACAUACAAAUUACAAAGGUGAAGUAUCCCAUACGAGGAUCAACCAUAUGACACUCUUCACACACAUCAUGAAGUGUCGAAGGAACCAUACAAAUCCAGAAUCUAUGUCGGUUGUUCUUCAAUGACCAAUGUCCUGGCAGUCACAAUUAAAAAAAAGGUCGAAGAAAGAGCCCGCUAAGUCGAACACCCUAAAAGGAGACUUAGGCAAAAAACAGGGGCAAUCCCGAUGGAUUAAAGCUUCAAACAAAGCGGUCCAUGCAAAAGUUAGGGAUCAAAACAAAAAAUCGAAAGAGACAAUGAAAGUCCUCAACAAAAGCAAAACAAGAUUCAGUGACCACCAUACCAAAAUCAAAGGGUCGCCGACAUCCAAAAAAACGAAAUAAGGUGGCUGCCAUUCCAAGGGACUUUGAACCACCAUCUUUAUCCUUACACAUGCAAGAGAAGAAUGUGUGUGAAUUAACUGAACAUAGGAUUGGAGAUCAUCAUGAAGAAGGGGUGGGUUAAAAUAAACUUUGAGCCUUAUAUCCUUUUGUUUCAAAACCAUCGACCAACACAGCAACGCCUCAAAAGACCAAGUUGAGUAGUGGUUUAUUCUGAAAGCAUACAUACAAGUUAGUAACUGACUCCUAAAUAUUUUCCAAUAUUCUCCUCUCACUAUAUCACUCACACACUAGCUAAAUCAAGCACCGCGUUUGGACACAUGAUCCACUCGCCACACACUACCACAACACUUCCCAAAUGAAUGAUUAUUUUUCAAAACUUGCAUAACUGUUGCAUUAACAUCACCAUUUCGUAGAUAACAAUUCUUAAUUGUCAGUCAGUGCUUGACAUCGGAAAAUUCCAACAAGGAGUAAUUCAACGGGCACUUGAUUGUUGGUGCUGACACGAAUCCAGACCAUCCUGUGAAUCAGGGGCAUGGCAUCUUUUGAUCAUAUUGACCUAAGAAGUAGUCUGUGUAAGACAAAUCUCCAAGCAUCGGUUGAUCAGGGAGAAAAACACUUCAGUACUCGGCCCGUCUGAAGCAGGUCCCUCAAAGGCUAAUCAGGGGCAGACCAUAGCCAGAUUUGGACAUCAGGAAACAAACUCAGACCAUGUCAUGGGAUAAUCACUCCUAAGGUUUCUUGCAGGGAGAAUUCCUUUGAACACCCUACAAACAGGGGCAAGACAAGUUGCAAGGGGCAAAAUUCCCUUCAUAUCUUCAAGACAGUCAGGCAGAUUGCGUCAAACAUUAGUGACUGCUUGAAUUCACAACCAAAAUGUCAAAAGUUCGUACCAGUACAACAUCAUGCCUUGACAAGAAUCCUUGAGGCACGUCAAAAGCACAAUCAUCAUGCGCUGAUCACGUCGCUAUGCUCAGUUACAAGCUGGCCAAACACUUCAGAAGAAGAAACCAAGAUCUUCUCAAAGACAAAUACUCAACAUAUCAGCAAGAGAUCAAACCUGGGGCACCAAGAGUAUCCACAUCCAUUUCGUGUUCAUCAUAUCAUCAACUACUGAGUGUCGGGAAUGUCAGAUCCUUUCACCAAUCAAUAGCAUAUCCACAUUGACAAUUACCAAAAAAACCUAAAGCCCACAUUGUUGGCACCCACAUAAAACCAAAUAUAACCAACUUUGGUUUCCAGAAGAUGCAUUGCCUUUGAAAGGGGGGCCAAUCCCAAACAAACCAAUCAUUCUUUGCAUACAAACAUGCAUUUCAUGCAUCAUAUGCAUCACCUCAUACAUAAUACAUACAUAUCAUUCAUGUACAUAACACAAAUCAAGAUCCAAGGUUUAGUCGUAGGCAUACAGGCCAACCCUCAGUUGAGUCGUUAUUUUUCUCUGAGUGAGUUCCUACCCUACUAUCGGGCGUUCCCCAUUGAGUUACAUCCUUCAACCUUUUGUUGAUAAGAUGUUAUCCUCAGCUUAGUCAAACAAUGUUUCUUUAAACACCUAUUUUUUUUUUCACGUUGAGCGUCCCUCAAUGAGUCGUUUCCCAUAACCUUUUGUUGACAGAAAUUACAUCUCCCCAGAGAACAUUGGCUCUGCAACCUUUUGUUGUUGAUACCCCCAAGCAAGUCUUACCCAAUAAUGUCCCAAUACUACCCAACAAAUCGGGUUUACUGGACUUUGACAGUAGCCUUAUUUUUCCAAUAUUUUUCUCACUACCAUCCUUUUGGUGAAAGUCCAUGGAGGAAUAAUACCAGUCAUCACCUUGUUUAUGAUCACCGUUAUCCUUUUGGUAAUGGUAAAUUCUUGACAUUUGUGAUCUUACUGUCAUCCUUUUGGUGUCGAAGAUCAUUGAAGUUUUAAGCUAACCUUCAUCCUUUUGAAUCACCUUGUUUAUGAUCACCGUUAUCCUUUUGGUAAUGGUAAAUUCUUGACAUUUGUGAUCUUACUGUCAUCCUUUUGGUGUCGAAGAUCAUUGAAGUUUUAAGCUAACCUUCAUCCUUUUGGUGAUGGUGACCUCUGCAAUUAUUACACCCCACUGUCAUCCUUUUGGUGUCAGUAAUAUUUGAAGUCAUUAUAACUUAUUAUCAUCCUUUUGGUGGUAACGAGUUUCGAAGUUAUGAUUCCACCUUCAUCCUUUUGGUGAUGGUGAUUGUUGAUUCAUUAUCAUCCUUUUGGUGAUAACGAGUUCUGUUGUUUGUAGCGCCUUCAUCCUUUUGGUGAUGGUGACUAUUGACUUAUUAUCAUCCUUUUGGUGGUAACAAGUUUUGUCGUUUUAACAAUACCUUCAUCCUUUUGGUGAUGGUGAGUGUUGACUUCUUAUCAUCCUUUUGGUGAUAACAAGUUUGUGUCUUGAUCUUACCUUCAUCCUUUUGGUGAUGGCGAUCAUUUGUGUUGUCAGCUUAUUAUCAUCCUUUUGGUGGUAACUAAGUUUUGUCGUUUGACAAAUACCUUCAUCCUUUUGGUGAUGGUGAUUGUUGACUUCUUAUCAUCCUUUUGGUGAUAACAAGUUUGUGUUUUGAUCUUACCUUCAUCCUUUUGGUGAUGGUGAUCAUUUGCGUGUGUGCUUCUUAUCAUCCUUUUGGUGGUAACAAGUUUUAUCUUUUGAUUAUACCUUCAUCCUUUUGGUGAUGGUGGUUAUCAUCCUUUUGGUGAUAACAAGUUUGUGUCUUGAUCCUACCUUCAUCCUUUUGGUGAUGGUGAUCAAUUGUGUUGUGUUCUUAUUAUCAUCCUUUUGGUGAUAACAAGUUUGUGUCCUGAUUAUACCUUCAUCCUUUUGGUGAUGGUGAUUAUUGAAGUUAUCUGACUUAUUAUCAUCCUUUUGGUGAUAACAAGCUUUGUUGUUGGAUCUUACCUUCAUCCUUUUGGUGACGGUGAUCUUUGAAGUUUAUGAGUUAACUAUCAUCCUUUUGGUGAUAGCCUUGAUCCUAUACUCUCAGUAAUGGAAAAAUUUACCAGAAUGACCAUCAUCCUUUUGGUGAUAGAAAUCUGUGAAUUGUGUCUAACUUUCAUCCUUUAGGUGAUAGCGAGAUUUGUUGUUGAUCUGACCAUCAUCCUUUUGGUGAUGGCGAUCUUUGUUGCACCCACUGUAACCAUUAUCCUUUUGGUGAUGACUACCUUAAAAGCUCAGCUUAUCCAUCAUCCUUUUGGUGAUGACAAUCCUCAAAAUCAUGGUGAAUCUCUGUCAUCCUUUUGGUGUCAGAAAACCAGUCCCACCUUUGUCUUCACAUCAGAAAUAACCUGUGCCAGAUUUGAAUGUUGACUCGAGGGUUGGCAUUGAUCGAACAUCCUACCCCCAUUACCUUGGCAUCCAUUGCAUUUUCAUCUGCAUCUCUCCAUUGCAUUUCAAAGGACAAAAUUUGGAUCCUUUAGUAUUUAAUUACCUUCCACCACGAAUGUAUGAUGACCUUUAUCAUUCUUACUUUCUAGUUCAAGAUAAUUAAAUAGGGGCAGCUGUCGUACCCCAAUUUUGUCCGGGCAUUUUUAAUUUUUUCAAAAUUAAUUUCAGUUUCAUUUUUGCAUCAUACGCAUAGCAUGACAUACAUUUGCAUCAUGAAUAAACACCUAAAAUGUCAGUCAGAAGGAAUUUAUUUGAGAAUACAGAAAAAAUCGGUUGAAUCGUUAAAAUUUGAGAAAAGACUGUAUUUUUAAUAAGUAGGUUUUGUGCUGACAAUUUUAAUGUGACUGGUUUAUUUAUUAUUAUUAUUUUUUUUAUUUUUUUAUUUUCUUUCUUUUUUCGAAUUAAAUUUGUACUCGAUUUUUUUUAAUUGGUCAAAUAUUAGUUAGAGUUUUUUUUUAAAUAUUAUUUAAUUAAAUAUUAGUUAAUGUUUUUUAUAUUAAUUAGUUUUUUUAUAUUAGUUAGAUUUUUUCUAAAAUAGUAGUUAAUUUUAGUUUUUAAAUAUUAAUUAGUUUGUUUAGUUAGAUUUUGUAAAAUAUUAGUUAGAGUAUUUUUUUUUUAAUAUUAAUUAGUUUUUCUAAAUAUUAGUUAGUUUUUAAAUAUUAGUUAGAUUUUUCUUUUUAAUAUUAAUUAGUUUUUUUUAGUGUUAAUUAGUUUAAGAGUUAGUUAGCUUUUUUAUUAGUUAAUUUUUAAAUAGUAGUUAGUUAGAGUUUUUAAAAUAUUAAUUAGUUUUUUUAUUUUUUAUGAAUAUAUGUAUUUUACAUUGGAUUCCAAUCCAUAAAAAAACAAAAAAAACAAAAUCUCCCAACGUCUCUCUCCAUCCACUCCCAACAGACCCUGCUCCACUACCUCUCCUCUCUCUCGUACCAGAAAAGACAAAAAAAGAAAAUAGAUAAAUGGGAACGUUACUCUCUCACUCUCAGACCACUAUUCACUCUCUCAAAAAAAAGACAAUCUCUCAAUUUCCUCUCAACUCUGAGCUCACACAAUCCCCUUCCUCUCUCGCCCCAAAUCUCUCACUCUCAAUUCUCAGCUGAAACUCUCACCGACAAACCCUCCUCUCUAAAAUCCGCCGCCACCACCUUCUACCACCACUAAACACUCACCAACCGUCAACCCUCCGAAUCCUUCAUCAUCUUCGUCAUCGCAACUCAACCGUUCACCGCCACCCAAAACCCCUACCGUCGCGGCGACUUCCACCUUCAAACCCUUAAACCACCUUCGAAACACCGUCAAAACCGCCGUCGCUCUCACCGGCAAACUCUCUCCAUCUACCUUCAAAUCGCGCCCUCACCGACAAACCCACACGAAACCUACUCAUCUCACAAUCUCCAAGCCGUCACCAUCCAUCAUCGCUUCCGUCCACAAUCGCGACCCAUCUUCACCGCUAAAACCUAAUCUCUAAAUCCGCCGUCAUCACCGUACCGAAGCCGUCGGUGACUUGUCAGUUCGCAACUAUCUUCGACCUUCAUCAACAGUUUGGGAUUGUGUUGUGUAAUUUUUCUGUUUUUUCAGGGAAAGUCUGAAGCUUUAGAGCCAUGGGUCCAGCACCGGUGACGAUUACAACUAGCCUCUGUUGAUAGCUUCAAAAGGAUUUUCUU